rnacentral:rRNA from 1 species
GGCGGCAUGCCUUACACAUGCAAGUCGAACGGCAGCACGGGAGCAAUCCUGGGUGGCGAGUGGCGAACGGGUGAGUAAUAUAUCGGAACGUGCCCGGUCGUGGGGGAUAACGUAGCGAAAGCUACGCUAAUACCGCAUACGAUCUACGGAUGAAAGCGGGGGAUCGCAAGACCUCGCGCGAUUGGAGCGGCCGAUAUCAGAUUAGGUAGUUGGUGAGGUAAAGGCUCACCAAGGCGACGAUCUGUAGCUGGUCUGAGAGGACGACCAGCCACACUGGGACUGAGACACGGCCCAGACUCCUACGGGAGGCAGCAGUGGGGAAUUUUGGACAAUGGGCGCAAGCCUGAUCCAGCAAUGCCGCGUGCAGGAUGAAGGCCUUCGGGUUGUAAACUGCUUUUGUACGGAACGAAACGGUGAGCUCUAAUACAGCUUGCUAAUGACGGUACCGUAAGAAUAAGCACCGGCUAACUACGUG